UUAAAUUGAAGAGUUUGAUCAUGGCUCAGAUUGAACGCUGGCGGCAGGCCUAACACAUGCAAGUCGAACGGUAACAGGAAGAAGCUUGCUUCUUUGCUGACGAGUGGCGGACGGGUGAGUAAUGUCUGGGAAACUGCCUGAUGGAGGGGGAUAACUACUGGAAACGGUAGCUAAUACCGCAUAACGUCGCAAGACCAAAGAGGGGGACCUUCGGGCCUCUUGCCAUCGGAUGUGCCCAGAUGGGAUUAGCUAGUAGGUGGGGUAACGGCUCACCUAGGCGACGAUCCUUAGCUGGUCUGAGAGGAUGACCAGCCACACUGGAACUGAGACACGGUC
rnacentral:rRNA from 1 species